rnacentral:rRNA from 1 species
AUGGCCGACGACCUCACCGACGCCGACUUCUUCGACAGGCUCGUCGACGACGACGACGACGACGAGGCCGGCCCCGCCCCAGCCGGCGAGCCCGGGCCGUCGGCGGGGGCGUUGGGGCAGGUCGCGGCGCCGCGCCCUGUGGCCGGGGCGGCUCCGGAGGGCGGGUCGCCGGGCUCGGGGAGGGGCGCCGCCGUCCACACCACGGUCAAGCAGGUCCAGUGGGCCGCCUUCCGGGCCGACGGCGACGACGCCGGGCUCGACCCCUUCGGCGAUCUGGGGACGGGUGCCGCCCAGGAGGAGGCGUUCCUCGGCACCGCGGCCGCGGACCAGACCUCGGGGAGCUCCACUGUCGGUGGGGGCGUGGAUCAUGGCUUCUUCGGCGGGAGACAGAGCUUAGAUCAGGAUCAAGGCUUUGUCGGGGUAAGCUCGGAUCAGAGCACGGCCACGCAGCAGCUCGGCGGCACCGGUGCUGCUGUCGACUCCAUGGAUCCCAGGUACCUGGAGAGCAUUUACCCCGGGUGGAAGUUCGAUGAGGCGACGCAGCAGUGGUACCAGGCUGAAACUGUCCACACUGCCGGUGACAAUGCGCAGCAGCUGCAGCAGCAAUUUGGCACUUCCUACCUGCAGAACUCAGCGCAGGCCGGGCUGGAGACGAUCGCAGAGGAGAGCUCCGUCGCGGGGAGUGCAUCAGGCUGGGGACAGGGGCCUGUUUCGGAGUACCCGGCAAACAUGCUGUUCUACGCGGAGUACCCAGGGUGGUACUUUGAUACCGACAAGCAGGAGUGGCUAUCGCUCGAGGCGUACCAGCAGGCCGUCAUGCAGGCCAGCGCAGCUAGUCCUGUUCAGGUCGGCGCAAACCAUGGUGUUGUUGCGCCUUCUGGUGGGAUAAAUUACAAUGUCAACCAAGCAGAGGUUCCUGCUGUCAACAAUCAGGUGGCCCAACAUACCUACGGCCAGCAGAGCCAGUGGCAGCCGGAUGCAUUUGCUAACAGUAUUCAACCUGAAAGUGCCACGAAUAGCUUGGCAGGUAGUUUCUAUGGUGCCGAUCAGCACGCACAUGCCGAAUCCAUCAGCCCCUCCACAAAUCAUCAGGUUCCUUUUAACACAGCCGAAACUUCAACAAGUCAUUAUGGCAACCUUCAGAAUGACUACAGCACGAUUGGUAGCCAACAAGCCGGUUACAAUGGGUUCGAACCUUCAACGGUUUACCAGACCAGUCCAAAGGUGCUCCAGUCGUCCGCGGGUAACCAGGGCAGUUACAAGGCAUUUGAACCUACCGCUGCUCACCACAUUGGUGAGAACAAGGGUUCUACGCCUUUUACUGGUUUCCAGCCUGGUUACAAGGGAUUCACUCCUUCCACGGUCCACCAGGCUGGUUACAAGGGAUCUGGCACUUCUACGGGCCACCAUACGAAGACAUUUGAGCCUUCCUCAGGUCACCAGGCUGGCUACAUGGGAUCCCAACCUUCUACAGGUCAACAUGCUGGUUACAUGGGAUCCCAACCUUCUACGGAUCACCAGUCUAGUUACAUGGGAUUUGGAACUUCUACAAACCAGGGUUAUGGUGAUGCCAAUGGUUUUGUAAAUACACAAGGCUUUGUUCCAACAGGGAGUAUGCACAACAGCCAGAAACAAGCUCAUGCAAACACCCAAGCACACUUGUCUAACAGCUAUCUCGGUACUGAGAACUCCAUGAACUUCCCUCAGCAACAAUUUAGUGGUGCAAAUGCUUCGCACAUGCAAUUUGGUUACUCUCUGCGUGAAGAGAUGUCAUCGGCUGGACGCCCACCUCAUGCUCUGGUUGCUUUUGGGUUUGGAGGAAAGCUUAUGGUUAUGAAAGAAACAAGCUCAAUGGCCACAAACUUUAACAGUGGAAAUCAGGGGAUUUCUAGUGGAACGGUGUCUGUUCUUAAUUUAUCAGAGGUUGUCGCGGAUAAUGUCGAUGCUUCGAGGAUCACUGAUGGCAGUGCACUUAGUUACUUCCAUGUUCUAUGCCGUCAACCUGUUCCUGGUCCUCUUGUUGGUGGAAGUGCUGCAUCAAAGGAUGUAAAUAAAUGGCUCGAUGAGAUGAUUACAUGGUAUGCGUCUUCCACCAAUGAAUACCAGAAAGGUGAUCCUCGCAAGUUGCUUAUUUCAUUGCUGAAGAUACUAUGUCAGCACUAUGGGAAACUACGUGCACCUUUUGGGUCUGAUCCAUCACAAGAGGAUACAAACGGUCCAGAGAUGGCAGUAACCAAGCUCUUUUCAUCUUGCAAGAGAAGUAGCGAUCAUAUGGGAGAUUUUGGGUCGAAUGUUCCUUUCAUGCAAAAUAUCCCCUCUGAAAUUCAGAUGCAGGCUGUUGCGCAAGAGGUACAAGCUCUUCUAGUAUCUGGCAGAAGAAAAGAGGCUCUUCUGCAUGCUCAGGAAGGUCAACUGUGGGGGCCUGCAGUCAUACUUGCUUUACAACUUGGCGAUAAUUUCUACGUGGAUACUGUGAAGAAAAUGGCUCAGUGCCACUUUAUUUCUGGGUCACCUUUGCGAACAUUGUGCCUUCUCAUUGCUGGUCAACCUGCAGAUGUUUUUAAUGUAGAGAACAACAGCAACAUCAACUAUGAUACACUAGGUGCAUCCCAACAACCUAUGCAGCCUAAUCCUAAUGGUAUGUUGGAUGACUGGGAAGAGAAUUUGGCUAUUAUAACUGCAAACAGGACAAAAGGUGAUGACCUAGUUAUUACCCAUCUUGGAGAUUGCCUUUGGAAAGAGAAAAAUGAGGUUGCAGCUGCUCAUUCAUGCUACUUAGUCGCUGAACUAAACAUUGACCCAUACUCUGAAAGUGCUCGGUUAUGUCUCAUUGGUGCAGACCAUUUGAAAUGUCCUCGAACAUUUGCCAGCCCUGAAGCCAUUCAGAGGACAGAGGUUUAUGAAUAUACAAAGGUGCUUGGUAAUUCUCAGUAUAUCCUGCUACCCUUCCAGCCAUAUAAGCUAAUAUAUGCGUACAUGCUUGCGGAAGUGGGAAGGCUCGCUGAUUCCUUGAGGUACUGCCAAGCUUCUAUGAAGGUGCUGAAAGCUUCCGGCCGUGCUCCAGAACUGGAAGCAUGGAAACAAUUAUUUUCCUCCCUGGAGGACAGGAUACGCACUCACCAGCAGGGUGGGUAUGGAACGAAUUUAGCCCCUGCGAAACUAGUUGGAAAGUUAUUUACCUCGCUUGAUAAAUCUAUAUCCCGCAUGAUGGGCACACCAUCCGCAACACUUCCACCAGUGCCACAGGGCUCUGUUGGUGAUAAGGAAACCUAUUCAGCACCUGCAGCUGCAAAAUUUGUAAAUAGUCAAUCAUUAAUGACGAUGUCAUCAUUAACUGCAUCCCCUUCAGUGCAUUCUAUUACUGAAAUGGCAGAGAAUAGUGGUGGCGCUGGCAGGAAGAUUGCACACAACAGAAGUGUUUCUGAACCAGACUUCGGCAAAACACCAAAACAGGGUGCACGAUCGGAUAAUACACAGAGCAGUGCAUCAGGUUCAAGAUUUGGUUGGAUCAGCUCCACACUGCAAAAGACAAUGGGAUUUGUUUCAAAAUCCCGCCAGGCAAAAUUAGGGCAACAGAACAAGUUUUACUAUGAUGAAAAGUUGAAGCGAUGGGUAGAGGAAGGUGCUGAGAUUCCUGCCGAGGAGCCUCCUCUCGCUCCACCUCCAACAAAAUCCUCAUACCAGAAUGGAAUGCCAGACUAUAACUUAAAUGGCCCUACUAGUGGAAUGCAUACUCCUAAUGGAGUGGCAGAACGAAGAUCUCCAAAACAUGCAGAUCAUGGUUUGGGGAUGCCGCCAAUUCCACCCAGCCAGAACCAGUUUUCUGCUCGUGGACGAACGGGUGUCCGGUCCAGAUAUGUGGACACAUUCAAUAAGGCUGGUGCAACUGGAGCAGCCCAGUCUUAUAACAGGCCAGCUGCUCCGUCUGUGACACCACCUACCGGUGCUAGGUUCUUUGUGCCCACUGCGGCUGCUGUCGCUGCAGAGCAGAUGCCUAGCCAAUCAGUGGAGACACGUGGCGAAACCUUCCAACGGGAUGAGCGCUCAUCCUCACCGCCAGCGGAAACAUCAUUUUCAUCACCCCCACCAGCAGCACAAUUUUCAUCACCAAUGUCAUCUACCAUUCAGCGGUACCCGAGCAUGGACAACAUUGCUACACCGAACCAGGCACCCUGGAUGUCCCCGGGAAGUAACAGCAGCUCAUUCGCAUCAAGAUCACGAGCAGCAUCAUGGAGUGGAACAUACUCUGACCAAUUCAGUUCCACGGCAGGGGCUAGGUCACCUGACGGACCGACUGUGCCCUCGCCACAAAUGCCUGGCAGACCCCCCUCGCACAGUCGUUCAAACAGCAACUCGUCUGUGCAGUUUACCGGCUUGACAGAGGAUCUUCACGAGGUUGAGCUCUGA